AAAAAAAAAUUAUAAAAAUAAAAAGUUAAAAGAAGAUACCCUUCCCCUUGUGCGCUAAAAAAAAAAAAAAAUUAAAAGCAUAAAAACGGAGCGUUUAGAGUUUAGAAAUAGCACAGCAGCAUUGCAAUUCAAAAUUGAAAUUGAAGAUUUAUUCAGCCCAGAGACGGACAGUGGCGAGCAAAUGCAAAGCCCUAAUAAAAUCUUUCUUCGCAGUUUUUCAGGGGAAUGGAACGAGAGCAUGCCAGCCAGGAGACUCGCUUGAUACUUUACUGUCCAUUCCUCAAAGCCUAAAGCUUAGCUGAUUCACUUCGAAAAUUUCGGUGAGUAUCCUGCAAUGUUUGGUUUUUGCGGUUCAAGAUUAGGUUUAAAUCGGAGUUUUUCUCUGUUUGUCUCAAAUGCCC
rnacentral:misc_RNA from 1 species